UUUAGAAGUGGACUGUUCCUAUAACUACGUUCCUGUAACUACUUUAUCAGAAAGAGGCUAUAGGGGAUUUACAUUGAACACAGUAAGUUAAGU